rnacentral:rRNA from 1 species
GGCAGUCAGAGGCGAUGAAGGGCGUGCUAAUCUGCGAUAAGCGCCGGUAAGGUGAUAUGAACCGUUAUAACCGGCGAUACCCGAAUGGGGAAACCCAGUGUGAUUCGUCACACUAUCAUUAACUGAAUCCAUAGGUUAAUGAGGCGAACCGGGGGAACUGAAACAUCUAAGUACCCCGAGGAAAAGAAAUCAACCGAGAUUCCCCCAGUAGCGGCGAGCGAACGGGGAGGAGCCCAGAGCCUGAAUCAGCAUGUGUGUUAGUGGAAGCGUCUGGAAAGGCGCGCGAUACAGGGUGACAGCCCCGUACACAAAAGCGCAUGUGCUGUGAGCUCGAUGAGUAGGGCGGGACACGUGGUAUCCUGUCUGAAUAUGGGGGGACCAUCCUCCAAGGCUAAAUACUCCUGACUGACCGAUAGUGAACCAGUACCGUGAGGGAAAGGCGAAAAGAACCCCGGCGAGGGGAGUGAAAAAGAACCUGAAACCGU